UUGGUGGCCUAUCAAAAACGCCAUGAGGAUGAUAAAAUCAACAAAUUCUUCAAAUGCUUGGUUGAUUUCGUGAAACACCCUCAUACAGAUGCAGUAAAGUUCUACAGUUACUGUACAGCUGAGACCUUCGGGGCAGACAAAGAUGUGCUGUACCAAGUAAAUUUGUCUCAACAGCUACUGGUGGAGAGCAUAGACCUACAGGAAUGCAACACUGUCAUUGUUUUCUGCCCAAUCAACUCUCGUGUUAGGUCAGAUGUGGAGGCAGCCAUGGCUAAAGCACCAGGUAAUAAAGACAUCAUCCUGGUUGUGAUGCACCAUACCCGAAAGACAAACUACUCAACAAGUGGGACAGGAUGGUCUCAGAUAUUUCCAAAUGUAAUCCUGCAUGUUGAUGUUCUCUUUCAUAAGACUGAGAGAGGAUUACUGAGAUGUCAGAAGAAUGCACAGGCAGUCUGUCAGAUACAACAAGGAUUACAGAAACACAAUGAUAUUAGUGAACCAACCAACACUGUGGGAGCACAGGGUCCUUUGGCCCUGUCCCAAAGUGAGAGUUUGCCUGUUCCACAGAGGCAG